UACGGGAGGCAGCAGUGAGGAAUAUUGGUCAAUGGGCGAGAGCCUGAACCAGCCAAGUAGCGUGAAGGAUGACUGCCCUAUGGGUUGUAAACUUCUUUUAUAAGGGAAUAAAGUGGAGUAUGUAUACUCCUUUGUAUGUACCUUACGAAUAAGGAUCGGCUAACUCCGUGCCAGCAGCCGCGGUAAUACGGAGGAUCCGAGCGUUAUCCGGAUUUAUUGGGUUUAAAGGGAGCGUAGGCGGAUGUUUAAGUCAGUUGUGAAAGUUUAAGGCUCAACCUUGAAAUUGCAGUUGAUACUGGAUAUCUUGAGUACAUUGAAUGUGGGCGGAAUUCGUGGUGUAGCGGUGAAAUGCUUAGAUAUCACGAAGAACUCCAAUUGCGAAGGCAGCUCACAGUAAUGUAACUGACGCUGAUGCUCGAAAGUGUGGGUAUCAAACAGGAUUAGAUACCCUGGUAGUCCACACAGUAAACGAUGAAUACUCGCUGUUUGCGAUAUACAGUAAGCGGCCAAGCGAAAGCGU
rnacentral:rRNA from 1 species